UACGGAGGGUGCAAGCGUUAUCCGGAUUCACUGGGUUUAAAGGGUGCGUAGGUGGGCUGGUAAGUCGGUGGUGAAAUCUCCGGGCUUAACUCGGAAACUGCCAUUGAUACUAUCAGUCUUGAAUACCGUGAGGUCAGUAGAAUAUGUCAUGUAGCGGUGAAAUGCUUAGAUAUGACAUAGAAUACCAAUUGCGAAGGCAGCUGGCUACACGAAUAUUGACACUCAGGCACGAAAGCGUGGGGAUCAAACAGG
rnacentral:rRNA from 1 species